rnacentral:rRNA from 1 species
GCUAGGAUUAAAGGCACACUGAAGGUGCCCAGUCUCUUCUGAUCUCGGAAGCUAAGCAGGGUUGGGCCUGGUUAGUACUUGGAUGGGAGUAGCAGUUUUUGUAAGGAUGAUGAACAUUCAGGCCAUGGUUAGUU